GGAGAGCUAUGAAAGUGUUAGAAGAAUUAGAGUUGUCUAUGAAAAGAAAGAAGAUGAACACAGAAAGUAGAUGAAACAUGGCUUUUUCUUCACUUGUUAAAACGAUAAGGGUUGUGAUGAUGUUUUAUACAUAGAAGGUUUGUUUAUUUAUCUACUAUUUUAUUUCGAACAUAGUGCGUCUUUGUUGAUUUGGAAUUGGCUGGACCACGUAAUACGGAACAUGGGUUGCUGCAGCAGCAGCGCAAUGACUAAUGAGGCGGUGGAAGAGGUGAAGUCUUUUCUGGGAGUUGGCUUGACAGGUUUAGCAGAGUGAUGCCCUGGGUUGCAGCCCCUGCAGGGCGCAAUGAAAGGGAGAGAAGACUGCCGAAGAAAGCUGAAGGAUUGAAGAAGGCUAAGUUUUGUGGGACCAUCACAAUUUGCACAAGUAACUAAACGCCCCAGUCAAGUUUACUUCCGCUCCUCCUGUCCUCGAGGUAUUUGCCUAUACUUCCAUUUUAACUAGUAUCUCACAAGCCAUGAAUAAAUGGUCAAAGCUAGAGGGAAAAGCUAGGGUUGUCGACGGGUGUGCUAUCCAUUAAUUUUGAGGAAUCUUAAUUCUAAUCUGAUUAAUAAGUAGGGUGUCAUAAGGUGUAAGUCCAUAAACUUAACCGUUCGACGUGAAAGAUGAGUCGUCAUCAAUUUUUCUUUUGUUUAUAUGUGAUUGGUCACGUUAAUUUAUACUUUUUAAUGAGGUGUUAACUUGAUUUAAGUUCAUUUAAAAAACUCGAUUCCAAUCUACCAAACAUACUAGGUUUAGAAGUACAGCUAGGUGUGAGGCAAUUGUUAGCACGCUCACAACGCUUAACGUGGUACCUAAUUAUUUUUAUAUUUUAUUAUUUUAUGUUAUUUUAUCAUUUUAUAACAAAGAAAAAUUCUUCAGUAUUUAAAUGUUUUUCGAAUACUCCAAUAUUUAUGGCAGAAUUUAAAUGGAAUUUCUCUCCUAGAUAUUUUCUUGAAGUUAUUACUUAUAAUGUUCUCAAACUUUCAUCAUCAAAGCAUUGAGAUUUAUUUAUUUAAUUUUUAUGAGUAUUAUAAUAUUAUAUUUUAAUCUACAAGAUUUUAAAUAUUUAUUUUCUCUAUGUCCUAUAUUUUAAUUUACGAAACCUUAAAUAUUUAUUUUUUAUUUAUAAAUUUUAUUAUUUAUUUCUCAUUAUUUUCUAUGUUAAUAAUAAUUAUUUACAAAUAAAUCUCUUUGCAAAAAUAAAGUAAAAGAUUAUUGUUGGUUAUGACAAAAUCAAAUUAAGUGCAGCAGAAGGAAUUUUAAACGAUUAAGCAUAAAUACUAUGCUGCACCUGCAUUGGAUCACCUUGGUGUUUUUAAAGCAAAUAAAAAUUUGAGGGAGAGGAAAAUGAUCAAAAUUCCUUCACCAAGUGAUGUGAGAAUCACGAUGGCUUCCUCCUCUUUUGAUUCAACCCGUGAACAUCGAAAGGAAGUGGAGAACUCGAGCCACCCAAGCGUUAGACCUCCAAUAGAUGCACACACGACUGCAAUGGAGACUUCUUCUAGGAGAAAGCUUUCUAACCACUCCUUUGUGCUAGCAAAGUGGACAACCUAUUGUCCUCUUCUUCUUCACUCAAUCUCCAACUAAACCACACAAGAGAAACUCUUCUUAAGAGCUCAAACAAAUGUGACAUCUUUUAACUUUUAAAUCUUGAUUUAUGAAUUUUUCAGCACUAAAAGUAUUAUUUUUAUGUCUAGAUUUUCUGGUGCACACUAAAACUCAAAGAUUUUGUGAUUUUCCUUAUCAUCAAAGCUCGCCUAAGGUAAAGAUGAAGGAUUUAUGGGUUUCUAAGCAUUUAUUAUGUUAAGUUAGAAAACUAGUUUUAGAUGAACUUGGUUAGUGUCAAAAAGGUUUAAAAAGGUUAUUAUGUGAUUUAUAGUUUGAGCAAUGAUUGUAUUAAUUAUUUAACGCUUUAGGUGCUGUCAAAAUUUCAAAGAAUUCGCUGGAGUAAAGUCUCGCGUGUUGAUAGAGGUUGACAUUUCGAAGGUAAAUGGGUACACCGUUUUAAGUAUUUUAAUACAAUAAAGCCACGCAUGUUUUAUUAUGUUGUUUAGCUUGCAAUAUAUGAAUACUCUGUUUACAAAAAUUGAAUCAAAUGAAUUUUUAUCCAAAUGUUAUCAAAAGGUUUUAGAAUCUAAAUAUAUAUGUAAAUAUCAUUACUACGUAUUAGUUUUCAAUAAGGGGGGACAAACCCUUUCAAAUGUUUUACUUCAAAAACUUUGAUUCCGUUAUGACUUAGAAAUGAGAAAUGUAUAUGGUUAUAUAGAUGACAAGUGGAUGUAAGUUCUCACCUUUAUACUUGAUGAUAAGUAUGAUGAUUGAGUAUUUUUGGAAGAAUAUGGUUCAUGGAAACUAGAACCCACAUUGUUGCUAUGGAAAAGUAUGGGAAACAAAUGUUUAGGUUGUGGUAAACAUUCCCACCCUUAAGCUCAUGAUACGAUUAUAUGAGGAAAAUUAGAAUAUGUGAAUCAUGAUUCAUCGGGAUAAUAUAUGAUGUAGUUUCCACAUACCCCAUAAGAGAUUAAAGGUGUAGCAUAAGUCUACUUUGAUUAUGCAUUAAUGAUAGAUUGAGAUAUGAGUUAAUACUUUGUACUUGAUUGUUUCCUAAAGCUUUCAUACGGUGCGAGAUAACAUUCCACACAUGGUGAAUUGUGUCUAGUACGGUGAUGAUAACGCUCCACACAGUGUAAGGUAACAUUCCACAUGUGGUGAAUUACACGUAGUAUCAUGAUCAUAACGUUCCACACGAUAUGAGGUAACAUUUCACACAUGGUGCCGAUGCAAAAAGAUAUGAGUAGAGCAAUCCCCGCACAUGGUGAAGCAAAAUUCCAUUACAUGGUGGUGACAUUCCAUGUAAGUAAGGCUGAUGUGCCACUCACGAGCCCAAAUGUGGAACACCCAAACAUGAGCCAAAACUCAGUAGGUAUCUUUCAUUCAUGAUUAUUGCAUAUUGCUUUUGCUAUAAUGAUGCCUUUUGUGAAUGUUUCUUAUGUUUGUGAUGUUUGAUUGAGUGGUAGAUUAAACUCUAAUCUAUACAAUAGUCAAGAUGGGUUAAUAGAUAAAAUAAAUCCUAAUGCAUUGGUUUAGUUUAUGGAUUAUUAAGGAAGAAUGGCCACUUGAGUUUCAUGGAUUGAUUAUUGAUCAUUGAGUUAUAUGAAUUGAAAAUGAUUACUUGAGUCAUAUGGGUUAGACAUUGAGCACUAAAUGUUAUGAUUGACUUCUCUUCGUGAAUCUUGAAUAAAUGAACAACUCAUAUGAUUUAUGAAAAGAUUAGAGUAAACCAACCAUAGCUUGGGUUAUAUUGUUAACUAUCAUCUCCUUUAAGGGGGAUCCAAUAUACCACUGGUAAAGGACAACUUCUUUGUUUUCCUACAAGGUUUUCUGCAAAUGUUUUGCUUAUUUAUUGACCUAUAUGUUUAUGAAAUGUCACUUUCACUAUGAAAAUGAGACUCGUUUAUGCCAACUCUAUUUUAUGAGAAAUUUGAAAUGAAGUAUGUUUAUCUAAAAUUCAUAUUUACAUUAAUGAUGUAAUUUGUGCUAAAAACUUUCUCCCUUGGCUUGUCUCUUUCCCCGUAUCCAUUCACAGAGUCUUUAUGACUGACACGUUAUUUUUCUCAAUUUUUUUUAUUCGUAAAUCAGUGAUAGCAUUCAGCUCUUGAGUCAUAGAGUCAUGUUUCGUUCAUCCUUCUUUGGUAAGUGUCUAAUAGCCACUUGAUGCCUAAAGAGAGUCAAGUCAUGUUCAGCUGACUAGUUGAUCUUUACUUUAUGUUUAUGUUUACGGAUAUUGAACAUGUUUAUGAUUAUGUAGCCCAUGCUUGGCAUAUUCUUAUGAAUGUUAUGGAUGAAUGUACAAAUAUGGCUCAAGAGCUUAUAUGGACACUUGCGGGUGUUGAGAAAUGACUACGACAUGAUGCAUGAGUUGUUAACUUUGAGCUUAUUAUGAAUGAAUGCACUUGCAUAGCUUAUGUUUAGAAGUUCCAUAACUAUGUAUAGUUGCCUUUGG
rnacentral:lncRNA from 1 species